CAGAGAAUAGUUUAUUAUAGAAAAUUUUAAUUUUGGAAAUUAAGGAUAAAAGUAUUUUUUUCUCUGA
rnacentral:tRNA from 1 species